AAGAUUUGGCCUCUGGCCUUUUCAAUCCAAACCUCUGUGAACCGUGGCCCUCGGGCCGAUUUUAAACAUUGUGUAAUGAAUGUAAUACUAUUGUAACAAAUA
rnacentral:misc_RNA from 1 species